AGUGACUGAUUGUCAGUCUGUUUGCGUGCUCCUUGGAGCAUUGGUGCGUUGCCAGAAUAACUGCUCUCCUAGGCGUUACGAGUGUAACCUGAUUCAAAGUUGCAGACGUUUGCAGUGGAGAGCCACAGCU
rnacentral:snoRNA from 2 species